GACCAAGGCGGUCGCCUUGGGCCUCAGAUUUUAGAGGGCCUGGAUGUAAAAAAUAAAAAAUAAAAAUAAAGUUAGGGCAAGUUUCAGACGACACAAUCUGCUUUGACACUCCGCAGGGCGCAGCCUCCGCUGUCGCCUCAGGUGACAAGUGAAAAGUAGCUAGGGUUUUGUGUGUGUCACAGUGUGUGAUUGCUAUCAAAAGCUGAAUGAAAUGUCUGCCUUUCUACAUGUGUCUUUCAUGGCGAUCGAGUAUCUCUGGCAGGUCACGGCAAUGAUUUUAUUGAUGACGGAUCCUCACAAGUAUAGUUAAGAUUGACGGGAGCAUCUUCCGAUAAUUUUGUAACUAAUGCAUAGUUAAUGAUGAUCAUUUGUAUAGUAUUAUAUUUAGGACCUUAAGGAUCACAAAAGUAUAUCAAUAUUCAAUUGGGUUUGCUUUUGAUGUAUCUUGAGCAUGUAAUGAUAACUAAACUUAUUCAUUAUCAAAGUUGUAAUUUUGGAAACGAAGGAAUGUUUAAUAAUGCAUCCUAACCUUGUAAAUCCAAUGUAAGACUUUGUUAAUUGAUUAUUUA